GCAGAAGGCUGGACGACCGCGCUAAGGGCUUGCCCCUUGCGAGGAAAGUCCGGACUCCCUAAAGCAACGGUGCCGGGUAACGCCCGGGCGGGGUAACUCGACGGAUAGCGCCACAGAAACAAACCGCCAUGCCGCGGGGGCCUUCGGGCAACCGUAUCCGGUUUGGUAAGGGUGAAACGGUGGGGUAAGAGCCCACCGCGCCGCUGGCAACAGGGGUGGCAAGGCAAGCCCCACCGGGAGCAAUGCCAAAUAGGGUCCCCGUGUGGGAGAGAGCGGCGUUGGCCGAUCUCGCCACUAGGCUUGCUUUAGCCGAGAGGGACCGGGUUGGCAGCUAGAGGUGCAUAGCAAUAUGUACCGCAGAGGAAUGGUCGUCUAAGGAGCGAAAGCUCUGGGACAAAAUCCGGCUUACAGGCCUUCUGCGCAU
rfam:Roseobacter sp. MED193 1099517003973, whole genome shotgun sequence.